UACGUAGGGGGCAAGCGUUGUCCGGAAUUAUUGGGCGUAAAGAGCGCGUAGGCGGUCCGGUAAGUCGGCUGUGAAAGUCAAGGGCUCAACCCUUGAAAGCCGGCCGAUACUGUCGAACUAGAGUCCGGAAGAGGCGAGUGGAAUUCCCGGUGUAGCGGUGAAAUGCGCAGAUAUCGGGAGGAACACCAAUGGCGAAGGCAGCUCGCUGGGACGGUACUGACGCUGAGGCGCGAAAGCGUGGGGAGCAAACAGG
rnacentral:rRNA from 1 species